rnacentral:misc_RNA from 1 species
GAGCAGAAGGAAGAUCGAGCGGUGCUGUCGAAGUGGGGCAACGAGCUACGCCAAACGUAUCGCACUGUCGCAACCCCUGCCGGCGUCUCGGAACUCGACGCCCGCAUGCUGAUGAAUCAUUCGGUCCCCGGCGUGAAUUCAGGGUACAUCACGCGACACAAGCUGCUGGAGGAUCAUCUGCGCGCCCAACAGCAGGCGAUCAGCAACACCAUCUUUUCAGCACUCGGAAAUACGUUGACGGCGCAACCAGAACUUCGCGACUGGCU